rnacentral:tRNA from 1 species
GCAGUGGUGGUUCAGUGGUCGAAUUCCUACCUUCCACGCGGGAGACCUGGGUUCUGCUCCCGGCCAGUGCA